CUCUGACUCCCAGGCCCGGGCUCUUUCCACUAAGCCACCUUAAUUGAUAAUUCAGAGAGCUUUGGAAAGGGGAGAGGAAGCACAGAGAAUGGCACUAAAGAAAAUUUCAUCUAAUGAACUUAACACUUCUAAGGCGUAGAAUUCAUUUUUACCUCCAUGAUAAAGUUUUACUUCAGCCAUAAGGUUCUUGUAAUAAGUUAAUGGAAGUAGCUAAAUAUGAUUGGCUUCCAUGUUGCCAGAGAUCACAUAGACUAAUGACAUUGUCUAAAUACUGUGAAGGCAUUUUCCCUACCCGCCUUACCCUCUGCCUUUAUUAUGCACUUGGCUGGGUACCCCUUAAGUACUUUGAAACUCUCCUCAGCCUUAUGUAGCUAUCCUCAUACUCUAUUAUUCCUAGUAACUGUAAUUUAUUUUAACCUAUUGCUCCCUGUGUAGAUUGUAGGCACCUCGUGGGCAGGGAUUGUCUACCAAACCUAUCGUACUCACCCAAAUGUUUAGUACUCUGAACACAGUGAACAGAAUUGAUUUUUGACUUAUAAUCAGAACUAGUAAGCAUUUUAUGAGGUCAAAACCAAGAGGGAUUGUUUGCUUUAACCUUAUUCCCACGGGCUUUGACAAACUCAUUUUUUUCCCCCCUCGUCAUUAGGCCACAUUUGAAGAGGACAUUUGGAAAAAGGAAUGUUUAUGCAGGACAACGGGACAGCAGGAUGUCAGGAGAGGAUGAGACCAUUUCAUAAGGUGACUAAGCACCUCCCCUUAUGGAGAAAAAAAGCCCCUGCGUUUCCAGUGGUCAAGAGCAAUACAACAUGAGCUCAGAGGAAAUGUGCAAAGAGUACCUACCUACUUCCUCCCAAAGACUACCUUCAGCAGCGUGGACCGUGCCGCCAGCCCAGAAAUCUGAGCAUAUGUAUGGACCCCAAAGAGGAUUCCAGCCACUUGGACGCAUCGAGGCCUAUGCUGAGCCAAACUAGAGCUGUGCUCCAGCCAAGCCUGGUUUUCUUGAAGAAUCUUUUGGGAGCCAUAUGGUCUGCCUUACUGCUGGUAAACACCACUGGUUGGUCACCACGAGGCGUGGAAUGGCAGGCUCCCUCAGGGAUGAAGGCACGAUGUCUAUACCUUGAGUCACACACUGCAUUACCUUGGCUUGAUGGUCUAUCCGGUAAGAAGUCUGCUGGAACUGACGUAUCUCCCUGAUAAUAUGCGAGAUCUACCAGAUGAAAGAACAACAAUAAGCACAUGACUUCAUCUUUCCCUCCACCUCAAAAUUCUGAGCUACUGCCUGUCAUUGACACCCGGCAUCCUCUCAGCACCUUAGCUGACUUCCAGUCCCUUUUGCCUUCUCCAGCGACAGUAGGUCUUGGACUGAAUCAACUUAAGUACUGUGAUGAGCCAGCCUACAAGAGAUCCCAUGACCAAAAUCACCAGAUUGCAAAACAUCAGAGGUCUAGCUACCAGUGGAGUCCACGACAUGAGCCAGAUGAUACCGUCUUCUGAAGUUUGUCCAUAAGAGCUUUAGUCUAGAAGGGAAAAACAGCACUCCGUCAAACAUCACUAGACACUUUGGCCCAGGUUUUCUUCAGCCUGUAGAUCGCGCUUCUGUUCAAGGCCGAGGUGAUCUCCAGCACCCCGUUGUAAUCGUGCAGACAGCGACAGAUGUCAGCUACUGCCACCCACUUCUCAAUCGAGUUCGCCCGAGAGCUGACGUCGGCGUAGUUCAUGAUUUGGGAGGCUACGAGAUUACUCAUCUGGCACAGAGCCAAAAAAGGGUGGAUUUGGUGGGGGGGGGGGGGGAACACCUCAACUGCACACCAUCAUUUUUAAGUAAAUGUGAAAAACAACAACAGCAACAUAAGAAAUAGUUGGAAAUAGUCAUGGUUAAAGCUCUGUAGGACAAAUAGGCCUAUCAGUUGGGUCAGAUUGUGCCUUCUUUUAAUUCUGUAUAGCACCUAGUGAGGGGAAAAGAAGUAAUUACUGAUUCUCAUGUUAAUGAUCCCAAUGUGUGGAGAUGAGAUCUCAAGAAGAGGGGAGGGUGGUCUAAUAUCUUCUUUUACUGAACCUCUUUGCUAGGAGAGAUUUUACACAUUUGAAAUUUGUUAAAAUGGAAAAAAUCCCAAAAGUCUGAUGCCCAAACCCAAAUCCUACUGACUGGUGCCACCUGGGAACUGCAGGGGUUUGGGCAGAACCGGGCCCCUUUCCCCCUGAGAGGGGAACUGCUGCCGAAUCACAUUGUCCAGACUCCUGUCCGGGAGCAGAAACCUGGUGCUGAGCCUACUACUCUCAGGACGGCUCUCUCAACCUAGAAUAAUUACAAGUACAAAGCUGCUGAGCCACUCCCAGUCUUUUCAAGACAGAUAGCUCAGCAGAGGCACUGGCUCUUCCCCAUGGAAGCAGCUAAAGGAUUUCCUUGAGGAAAGAGAAGCUGCAGAGUAAGGAUCCCAGCCAGACCCUGUAAGGAAGUGUUUGUUCGCCUGGAUCCCGGAGAUGGCACGGUGAGAUAAAAGUGGGGAGACCAAACUCACUAAUGAGAGGGCUGGAGGCUCGUUAAUACCACUGCAAAAAUGAAACAGGAAAAAUCACAAGAGGGAUAAAAGGUGGACGAAAGCUGAAAGAUGACACUGACCUUCACUCAAAGAAACGUUGCAAAUAAAUAUCAUGAAGGAUUUGAAUCAUCUCUUUCUUACAAUGGCAGGCAAUCUUUGUUCCAACUGGACAGAACUCAACACUCUCAUGGUUUGGAAAGUUAAAGCAAACAGGCUGAGGGCAGCUAUCUACUACAUACACAAUCUCUGCUUAGACUGUGAGCCCUUUGAGGGCCAGGGACUGUGCCUUAAUUCCCACUGGUGUAUUGUUUCCCAAGCCUUAGUAUACUGCUCUCUUUAUGCAAACAGUAAAUGCUUAAUAAAUACACAUAUCCUGAAAUCCAUCUAACGUUGUGCUUCCAAAGCUAAGUAUUUUUUUGAUUACUCACAUCAUUAAAGUGUUGGCUGGUUUUCAUAAUG